GGUCCAAAAAUUUAUCAUAAAAUCAUAAAUAAAAAUAUCUUGUUCGGAGAAUGAUAGUACUAUAACAGUGGUUCCAGUCAGUCAAAAGAGUCAGAUUUUGACGAGUAUGGUCAUAUUGGGUACGCACUAGAGCCAGGGUAUACCGAAGAAGAGCUCCAUAAAAUGGAAGCUGCAGAAAGUUCCCGAAAUCAAGAUAUCCUUAGCAACCAUCGCUAGUUUUUAAAACACAGAUUGGUGUUCGUGUACUAACUGCAUACUUAUGCCGUUAUUAACGGAAUGUCUAUGUUGCCACUAAUUUACUCUCUUUGAUCGUAAUAUUGAAUUGGGUGAAUGCAUAAGUAACAGCAUCGAUUUCAUAACAGUUUGUCUGAACCCGGUUGUUCUUGAAACUAACUAUAUAAGUUUUUUUUAAGUACAAUCGUAUUCAUAUUAUACAUGUUAAAUGAAUGAACAAAUAUUAAACCUAUCUGUUUAUUGUUUUCCGUCCAUGUCUGCUCAUCGCCAGAAAUAAAGUUUGUCGCACGAAAAAAUGGUGUUAAUUCCAGAGUCAAAAUUUAAAGAACUUAUUUUCCAUGUUUUCUGGUAUUGUUCGAAAGAGAAUUGACCUAACAGAAGAAUUACUAUCUUAGGCUGUCAGUAACACAUGUAGAGUAGUGGGUCGUUGUUGGACAUGCAAAUCUUAUAAAGUGUAUCAUCUGUUAAAUUUGCAGGUCACUGAAAGGGGAAGUUCCAUACGGAAGUAGGUUUUGAGAUUGAUUUUUUUUAUAUCCAGUGACACAUUUUACAUGCGUAUUCUUGAACGUUUGAUACAUCAUUUACUCUCAAAUUGCAAAAAACGAAAACUUCCACUUGUAUUUAUAGUAUUUGUUGAAAUAGUCCUCGUCUCACAACGUAUAAUACUCUAUCUAUUUGACCAACGAUGUUCAAAAACAAAAGACAGCGAAUUUUAUGUCAUCUUUCCCUAUUUUUGAAUGUAACUUAUAAGGCUGUUCAACUGGCAAGAAUACCGCCAGAGACAUAUAUACAUGUCUCUGAUACCGCUAAAGCGAACAAGCAGUUUAUUCUUUAAAUUGCUAUCAUAUCACGGCAAGAAAGAAAAUAAAUCCUGAAAUUGAUUUGAAACUUUAAUACUCAAUAGUUUUCCUAGAAAAUACUCACACCCCUUUGGGAUUAUUAGUGUACGUCCAGUUGCAUAUAUUUUACAUGAAUGUCGGAACAAUUGUGAUGAUGACGAAUUUCUUCCUUUAUUCGAGAACAAUCUAAUUGAUACAUAAAACUGGGAUUUUACUAUGUUCAUAACUUCGAUGAACCAAAGCAAGAUAUAUAUCGACCUGUAUUUAAAUCAAACUGGUUCUCUUCUUCUUCUUCUUCUUCUUUUGGUAUACAAUAUAGUCUGAUACAUGUAUAUAUUUUAAAUUGCACUAUAGUUCCGUAACUUUCUAUCCAGGCGUAUAAGCCAACAUCGACAAGUGCGUACAUUUUUUAAAUCAAUAUUUUUGGUAUGUACCAGUCUGUCCUUUACUAUAAUUAACAAA
rnacentral:lncRNA from 1 species